rnacentral:lncRNA from 1 species
ACUAAGUAAAUCUUUUUUUUUUUUUUUUUUUUUUUUUUUUUUUUGUAGGCCUACCUGGAGUGUGAAGGAUGUCUGUUCUCUUCUAAUUGAUAUGAACUUGGUGGUGCCUCAUUUCUUCUCAAGCUUUUAUGAGCAUGGAAAUUUCAGUGAGGUUAAACACUGCCCUCUUGGAGAACUGUUCUUCCAACCUGUCCCAACUGGAACCUCGAAGGAGAUUUUUACCCGCCAGGAAAGCAAUAACGAUACCAUCUCUGAUGGCCUCUGUUGACCCUGCAAGACUAGAAUAGUUUUUAUCAGUAGCUGCUUCUCCAUAGGAAGCCAUCUCAAUUCAUCAUAGAGAGAAAAUUAAAAGCUUGGACACUGUUUUGUUUUGGUCUGUUGUUCCUCUUUACCCUCUCCAUGGAUCAGCAGAGCACAGCUGGAACAUGGCUCUAAUAAGCUUCACAUGGUGUUUGUAAGCUUGAUUUAGUGUUUUUGAAAGCAUUUGGAGCUGUGUACCUGUGGAGAAUGGUGUGUAAAGGCAGAACAGUAUUUUCCUUUAGCAGGAGAGGAUGACCCAGGAAGGACUGAGCUGGAUUCUGAAGAUUUGGUCAAACUGCUUCUGUACAGAGUCUGAUGACUUUUUGGAACAUAUCUUCCAAAAGGCAACCCAGUCUUGAACUGAAGUUUUCAGCAGCUUUAAUAAUUAUCUCUCCUCUUUGUUGUUUGUUCUAAUGCAGUAAAAUUGUUUUUAUUUCAAAAAUGGAUGAUACUGRAUGAUACUGACCUUAGCCUUGUGGUGGUUGUCUUUUUUUGCUGGAUGUUUUGUAAGCAAUUUUUCUGGAUGAUGUGAGUAUAUACUAAAAAAAAAUAUGUUUGACUAGAUAUAAAAUUUUUGACCUGUUGCCUCAGAAUUGGGUGUAAASCUAUCUCAGUUUCAGGUGAACACUGUUGAGUAUUGUAGAAUUAUUGAUCUCAUGUUCAUUUAUUCUUUAGUUCUUUUUUUUCCUUCCUUAUUUGCACUUUGCUUCCCUUCCCUACGCCGGGAACAGAGGCAAAACUUAGUGUGAACAAUCUCGCUAAGCAAUUUUUCUAGUGCUAUGACUGCUUUUAUGAAGUGAGCUCUGACCACUGAUAAAUGUUUGUGUUUGAGCUCAGACGAACAUGCUGCAGUUCUAGC